rnacentral:lncRNA from 1 species
UCCCAGCGAAGUCCCCGCGCGGCUGGGCCCAGCGUGAGUAUUCUCCGCCCGCUGUCCUCCCCCUGGAGGCGGCAGCGCCCGUUUAUUUGAGCCAUGUGAAGAUGUGCUUGCUUCGCCUUCCAUCAUGACUGAAGUUUCCUGAGGCCUCCCCAGCUAUGCUCCCUAUACAGCCUGCAGAACGGUCGGCUGCCUCCAAUCCUGAGGUCAUCACUCAUCAAGAGGGGAUAAUCCCAGGGACAGCAGGAUCUGCUUCGUUACUUGGAUUUAGGAGCCAGAAACCCAUCAGGCAACUAAACAGUAACAAUGACCCACCAUUAAACACACUGAGAGAAGAGCAUGAUGAAGAGUUUGUACAAGAAGAAGCCAGGAGCACUUGCUGACAAUGCUUACAGAGACGCAGGCUUCUAUGAGCUCUGCCUGUUGAACUGCAGUAAAAAUAGAUCUCCUUCCCCAGAGAGGCUUGGAUGUGGGCACAAUAUCAGUUCAGACGAUGGUCAAUGCAUGUACUUAAUAGAGUGAAAAGACUUUGGACUGUGAAGUCAGAUUACCUGGGUCUGAAUUGUUAUUCUUCUACUUCUUUGUAGUAUGCUUUCACCACAUUAAAAAUUGUCUGAGCCUCAAUUUUUUUAUCUGCAAAAUGGAGCUAAUACCUACACAGGGGCUUUUAAGAGAAUCAAAUGCAACAAUGUUUGAAAAAGCAACGUACUCCCCUUUAUGGAAAAAGAGCCUGUAAAGGAACCAAUACAAUGGCUGGGCGUGGUGACUCACACCUGUAAUCCCAGCACUUUGGGAGGCCGAGGUGGGUGGAUUGCCUGAGCUCAGGAGUUCGAGACCAGCCUGGGCAACAUGGUGAAACCCCGACUCUACUAAAAUACAAAAGAUUAUCCCGGCGUGGUGGUGUGCACCUGCAAUCUAAGCUACUUGGGAGGUUGAAGCAGGAGAAUUGCUGGAACCUGGGAGGCAGAGGUUGCAGUGAGCCAAGAUCGCACCACUACACUCCAGCCUGAGUGACACAAGACUGUGUCUCAAAAAUAAAUAAAUGAAUAAGUAAAUAAAUACAAAAUAAAUAAAAUAAAGAAACCAAUACAACAAAG